rnacentral:lncRNA from 1 species
AAAAACCCAAAAUGUUUCUCUAUUUUGUCUCAGGAUAAUUAUACUGCCAAUUUUUUUGUUGACUCCAUCUUUGUACCCCUCCAGAAACAACAGUUCUAAAGCCAGAGGAGGUGGAUGUACCCCCACAGAAUGCCUUUAGAAGUGACUUCUCUCCAAAAGAGUAUUGUCUGGGGGUAUGCUGAGAACAUCAGGACUCUACAUAAUGGAAAAAGAUCAUAGUCUGCCUGGAAUUACUGAUAAGCACCUCAGGUUGCCUUCAGAUUUGGAAGUCCUACCAGUCUACCCGGGAUGAAAAGAACUCUCUAAUGAACACUUACUAUGAGGAGUCUUCAGAAAGUUCAGAGAGAGUGGUUGUUAUGGGAUGGACAUUUGGCACAAAAGACAGACCACUUGUAUUUCUCCAACCUAAAGGAUAAAAGGAAAUCUACCAACUCCCAAAGUAUAGUCUCUGUCUUUAUUUAUAGAUUUCUGGAAAUUUUCUUAGCCAAAAUUGAAGUAAAUUAUUUUGAAAGGAAUGGAAGGUGUUGGGCCAUCAUGGAGAGCAAAUCAUCUAAUAAUCAGUUUACUGUUUCCAAAAAGCUGUUUUGGGUAAGAACUUGCCAGCUUUCCGAGAGGUUGCCUGCCUGGAUAGUACAAAGGGAUAAUUGUCAGAAGGCAAGUAUAUCGAUGUUUACCACAAAAUCUCCAGGAGAAACUUUUCCUUAUUUCUUUGUCUAAAAACAAUUCUUUAUUUUGAUACCACAUAGUUUUUAUUUCUACCACCCAGAUACACUGGUGACUCGUUUCCUUAUAUUAUUGUUAUUACACAGAUAGAGAACUUGUUUCCAUCUCAAGCUCCAAAUGCUUUGUUGUACAACUAUGUCAUAUUUCCACUGCAUGUGUCAAAAGGCCUACUGGGGGUCUAACGUGGAACUGUGUCUUUGGUUGCCACCUAAAUAAUAAUUCUUUAAAUUAAAUUGACUGUUUUGCAUGGGUAACAAUAAGAAUUUGUUUAGUUCAAUAAAAAAUGUUUGAACUGACUUUGUUUUUCUUCA